GGCUGCUGGUGCUGCUGCUGCACCGCUUCUGCGGGUUGCACUUGUUUGUGCUUCCCGGCCAAGUGCAGCUCUCGCCCCCGGCACUGCCUUACGCCAAAGAGUUGACGAUGAAACUCGCGGUUACUGCUGCUGAUGCAUGUGCAUGAAAUCGAGAAUCUCUAAACCCUUUCUGUUGGCUUCCACAGAUAGAUAUUACGUAAUUUCCGAGUGAUACAAAGUACAAACAGACAACAUCCAUCGUUUGCCGGCCAGGGACGAUCGAUAGUCAGUCUGGCAGCGCAAAGAAAGUCGUGACUUACGAGCGGUACACGCGAAGCGCAAAGCUAGUGAAAGUUGCUAGCGCGAGCUCAUCGAAUAACGAACCCAAGAUUGCUAGAAAUGUCGCCCAAAACGACGAAGGGCCGAGAUUAGCCAGAAUCGACUAGAUCGGAAGGUUUAUUAUCAGCACAAAGAAAGGUUUAUUUCCACGACGAGUGGCCAUCAGUAGAAGACGGCGUAUGACGAAAGAGCCCGAGUGAGAGGAGCUGGGACACACUCACGAGGAGCAAACUCACGUACGCGGGCACGCGCGAACCCACAGGAGGACAACAGCGACACACUAACAGAGACCUGUAGACUCACCACACCAAACACCAGCCAGCGCUAACGGGAACAGAUAAGGCCAGUGAUGGCAUCUAAUUUAUUCCAUGAGUCAAGUCAACAAUAUCAUCAAUUUAGCAGAGAUCGUGACAGAUCAACGUUCUAUUCGUCAUCAUCGUCAAAAGAUUAUCAUCAUUAUCCGCAGCAACAGGUCAGCCGCAACAGUGCGAGGCAGGCAGCGAGGUAACAUUCGGAUAUCAGCGAGAAAGUAGUAUUUCACCACUCCUUGAGACCUCCAACAUGAUAUUUGAUACCACCAAAUGCGAGCGACCAAAAUCUCCAGACUUUAAAAAGGAAAGUUCACCAAGUCACAGGCAUUCUUGAAUCUUCAUCAUCUCCUCCAAGCUUGUGCUCUGCUGGACCAACAAUAAGACUCAUCGCAAUAGCGAGAGGCCUCCAUUAAGUUCUGGAAGAAUUUACGCCCCCACUCACGUUUGCAUAAGAGCAGAACGCGUCGUC
rnacentral:lncRNA from 1 species